AGUCGAGCGGGCGAGGUUAGCUUCGCGUAACUGUAGCUAGCGGCGGACGGGUGAGUAAUGCUUAGGAAUCUGCCUAUUAGUGGGGGACAACAUUCCGAAAGGAAUGCUAAUACCGCAUACGCCCUACGGGGGAAAGCAGGGGAUCUUCGGACCUUGCGCUAAUAGAUGAGCCUAAGUCAGAUUAGCUAGUUGGUGGGGUAAAGGCCUACCAAGGCGACGAUCUGUAGCGGGUCUGAGAGGAUGAUCCGCCACACUGGGACUGAGACACGGCCCAGACUCCUACGGGAGGCAGCAGUGGGGAAUAUUGGACAAUGGGGGGAACCCUGAUCCAGCCAUGCCGCGUGUGUGAAGAAGGCCUUUUGGUUGUAAAGCACUUUAAGCGAGGAGGAGGCUACUGGUAUUAAUACUACCGGAUAGUGGACGUUACUCGCAGAAUAAGCACCGGCUAACUCUGUGCCAGCAGCCGCGGUAAUACAGAGGGUGCGAGCGUUAAUCGGAUUUACUGGGCGUAAAGCGUGCGUAGGCGGCUUUUUAAGUCGGAUGUGAAAUCCCUGAGCUUAACUUAGGAAUUGCAUUCGAUACUGGGAAGCUAGAGUAUGGGAGAGGAUGGUAGAAUUCCAGGUGUAGCGGUGAAAUGCGUAGAGAUCUGGAGGAAUACCGAUGGCGAAGGCAGCCAUCUGGCCUAAUACUGACGCUGAGGUACGAAAGCAUGGGGAGCAAACAGGAUUAGAUACCCUGGUAGUCCAUGCCGUAAACGAUGUCUACUAGCCGUUGGGGCCUUUGAGGCUUUAGUGGCGCAGCUAACGCGAUAAGUAGACCGCCUGGGGAGUACGGUCGCAAGACUAAAACUCAAAUGAAUUGACGGGGGCCCGCACAAGCGGUGGAGCAUGUGGUUUAAUUCGAUGCAACGCGAAGAACCUUA
rnacentral:rRNA from 1 species